CAAAAAAUAAACCCUAGGUUUCCGUGUCCAACGUUUGACUGUUUGUCUUAUAUAAAUUUUUUUUAUAAUUAGUAUUUUCAUUGUUGUUAGAUGAUAAAACAUGAUUAAUACUUUAUGCGUGUCUUAUCUUUUUAAUUUUUUUUAAAUAAGACGAAGGGUCAAACGUUGGACACGAAAACCCAGGAUUUGUCUUUUU
rnacentral:pre_miRNA from 1 species